rnacentral:rRNA from 1 species
AUUGAACGCUGGCGGCAGGCCUAACACAUGCAAGUCGAGCGGAUGAAGGGAGCUUGCUCCUGGAUUCAGCGGCGGACGGGUGAGUAAUGCCUAGGAAUCUGCCUGGUAGUGGGGGAUAACGUCCGGAAACGGGCGCUAAUACCGCAUACGUCCUGAGGGAGAAAGUGGGGGAUCUUCGGACCUCACGCUAUCAGAUGAGCCUAGGUCGGAUUAGCUAGUUGGUGGGGUAAAGGCCUACCAAGGCGACGAUCCGUAACUGGUCUGAGAGGAUGAUCAGUCACACUGGAACUGAGACACGGUCCAGACUCCUACGGAGCAGCAGUGGGGAAUAUUGGACAAUGGCGAAAGCCUGAUCCAGCCAUGCCGCGUGUGUGAAGAAGGUCUUCGGAUUGUAAAGCACUUUAAGUUGGGAGGAAGGGCAGUAAGUUAAUACCUUGCUGUUUUGACGUUACCAACAGAAUAAGCACCGCUAACUUCGUGCCAGCAGCCGCGGUAAUACGAAGGGUGCAAGCGUUAAUCGGAAUUACUGGGCGUAAAGCGCGCGUAGGUGGUUCAGCAAGUUGGAUGUGAAAAUCCCCGGGCUCAACCUGGGAACUGCAUCCAAAACUACUGAGCUAGAGUACGGUAGAGGGUGGUGGAAUUUCCUGUGUAGCGGUGAAAUGCGUAGAUAUAGGAAGGAACACCAGUGGCGAAGGCGACCACCUGGACUGAUACUGACACUGAGGUGCG